rnacentral:rRNA from 1 species
UGGGGAAUAUUGCACAAUGGGGGGAAACCCUGAUGCAGCGACGCCGCGUGAGUGAAGAAGUAUUUCGGUAUGUAAAGCUCUAUCAGCAGGGAAGAAAAUGACGGUACCUGACUAAGAAGCCCCGGCUAACUACGUGCCAGCAGCCGCGGUAAUACGUAGGGGGCAAGCGUUAUCCGGAUUUACUGGGUGUAAAGGGAGCGUAGACGGCAUGGCAAGUCAGCGGUCAAAGUUCCGGGCUCAACCCGGUGAUGCCGUUGAAACUGGUGUGCUUGAGUGCGUGCGAGGGAGGCGGAAUGCGUUGUGUAGCGGUGAAAUGCAUAGAUAUGACGCAGAACUCCGAUUGCGAAGGCAGCUUUCCAGCACGCCACUGACGCUGAGGCACGAAAGCGUGGGGAU